rnacentral:rRNA from 1 species
CCUACGGGUGGCAGCAGUGAGGAAUAUUGGUCAAUGGGCGGAAGCCUGAACCAGCCAAGUAGCGUGCAGGAUGACGGCCCUACGGGUUGUAAACUGCUUUUAUACGGGAAUAACGCGCCUUACGUGUAGGGCUUUGCAUGUACCGUAUGAAUAAGGACCGGCUAAUUCCGUGCCAGCAGCCGCGGUAAUACGGAAGGUCCGGGCGUUAUCCGGAUGUAUUGGGUGUAAAGGGAGCGUAGGCCGCAUGUCAAGCGUGCUGUGAAAUGUCCGGGCUCAACCCGGGGCUUGCAGCGCGUACUGGCGUGCGUGAGGCCGCGGGAGGCAGGCGGAAUUCGUGGUGUAGCGGUGAAAUGCUUAGAUAUGGCGAAGAACCCCGAGUGCGAAGGCAGCUUGCUGCAGCGGAACUGACGCUGAUGCUCGAAAGCGCGGGUAUCGAACAGGAUUAGAUACCCCUGUAGUC